GGAGGCGUGGCUGGCGCGCGGCGGGGCGGGGCUGACCCAGUUCCGCGUGCCCGCCCCCUGGCCUGCGGCGGGGAACAAAUGGGCCUCUAGCUGGGGUUUCGAGCCUCCGGCCUCGUGGGAAACGCUGGGUGUCACUGGGACCCCGACUUUGCCUGUGCUCCUGCUGUCCUGACACAUCAACCUACCCAGAUCCCCUACGCACCCAAGCCCCGGCUCUCAGACAUCCCAACUUCAUCUGAACCCCGACAUCUGUCCUGAUGCUUUUGCUAACACAACCGACGCCCCAGUUCUCCCAGCACCCAGCACUCCAUUCCGGCCACCAACCCCAUGCCCACCCAAACCCCAACAGAGAGCCCCGUUCAUGCGAACCCCAAUAUUCGCAAUCCUAACUCUUCCUACUUUGCCACACUUUGGUGCACCCCAACUUUACGAAACCCAGUUUGCCUACAGACUCCAACCCGGAUCCAAGCCUAACUCCCACCGGAACCGCGACUUCACGGCCAGGCAUCGUCCACACCCCCACACUCGCCAUGCCGGAUAGUGCGUCCCUGCUGUCGGGUGCAGGCCCCCCACUGCCGAGCCUGGUUGGGACGAGGGAGAGUCUCAAAACCUCCGCCAUCAGGAGAACCAGCUCUGCGAGGACCCUCAGUCCCUACUCUUGCCUCAAAGCUUCUGGGGGGGCCCUCUGUGACCACCACUCGCUCCUCGCCCAGACCUCACCUCGUGCCGGCCCCCUCCCCCGGCCCCAGUGGAAAAAGCUAGUGCGCACCGCAGGAACAGAAAGGCUUCUGGAAGGCGGAGGCUGGAGCUGGCCUGGGAACCCCUGACUCCCCAUCCCCCACCCCGACCAGCAGCCUGGAGUCCAGCUUGGCUGGGCAGCCAAGGAUCACGGGCGCUGAGGGGUGAGUGGGUGAGUGUUUGCGGCUGGAGGCCCUGGGGGUGUUCCUGCCCCCGCCCAGGCGUGUGCUGGGUGGCGGGGGACGCUGCCGCCCUCUAUCUGGUCGGGGCGCUCUCUGUAUCUGGUGGCAGCUGUGGGGUGCGGUCUGACUCUCCAGGCUGGGGUUUUGUUAGGGGAGGCCUUGGCCGUGGCUGAGCCAGGCGGUGCUGUUUGCUUUACGGUCACACGGUGGAUUGAGGUUGGGGGCAGGUUUAUGGGGUGUAUCUGGGAGCCUGGCACACCAGCCGUACCCAUAAAUUCGUGUCCUGUGGAAGGCUGUCCCGGGGCUGCCGGUGGGGGUGUGGGAUGGCUUGCAGCCCCCGAGUGGGACGGCUCCCGUUGGUUUUGCCUGCUUUCCCACAGGGCUGAGUGUGGGUAGCGUCCGGGGUGUGGGGUGUGUGCCCUCCGAGGCAGCCAGCUGUCUCCCUCACCUUGCUCCGCCCACAUUCCAGAGUGGUUAGGGGUGCCCUCCCCGGCUCCCGCCCGCUCCCCGACCUCCGACCUCCGCCCGAGCCCACUCCCUCCGCUCCGGCACCCGAGGAGGCAGCUGGCUCCAGGGAGGGGCUGCAAGGCGGGGGAGGAGGCUGGAAUGUGCCCCGGGGAGUGAGGGGGCCCCCAGAGAGGGGGCGGAAGCAAGGGAGGGAGGGGGGCGGGCGGAGGAGAGGGUGGUACUGGGCUGGAGAGGCGGCCGGGGAAGCCAGAGAUCGACAGAAAUAGACAAAGGCAAAAGAAAGCAACGGAGGGAGUGAGAACCAGACAGGGAGGAGGCCAGGGCAGGAGGGCCCUCGGAGGCAGGGCCCUGUGACAGCCUCCCCGCCCCCACCCGGCGGGCUGGGCAGCUCACCUGUUCCAAGUGACCCCAAAGGCAGCCAGUUCUCUGCCCUCCGAGGGCUAGGCGGCCCGUGGGUGGGGCAGCACCCGGCUCCUGGGUUGGGCCCCAACGCCCUUGGCCACGGGGUGGUGGCGUCCUCAGCCUCCAGCCUGGUAACUCCCAUUCCCAUGGUGCUGGGAGAGGAGGGCGGGUGUGGCCAGGCCCUGUGGGGGCGGCUGUGCCCGGGCGCCGGCUCAAUCCCUCCGACCCAGUGGCUCCAGGCCAGGGGGUGCUGGCUGCCUGGCUUCUACCGCUGCCCACCCUAGCCACCUGCCAGGCUGGCUCCAAGGGUCCAUUCGGCCACCCCCAGAGAACUCCAGCCUCAAGCCAAAGCCAUGACCUCCAGUGACCUUCUCCUGCCCGCCCACAGCUGCCGCGUCUCCCCAAGCACUGCCCACCUGUGAGGUCACCGUCUGGCAGGGGCACCCGCACGGGCUCCCAGCCACGGGGCGCCCCCACCCUGCGAACUCCAGAGGCCAGGCUGCACCAAAGGCCUUGGCUACAGCCUCCACGCCUGGCACAGGCGCUGUGCAACCAACCACUGCCCACAACCAAGCAGCGGGCGGCCAGGGGGCCUCCUGCCUCCUGGGUCCUCAGCUCUCUUGAUCUAGGACUCACAAAGGCAUUUCGGAUUUCCGCCCCAAAACUUCCAACCCCCCUGCCACCCCCUAAAGCCAGCACUUUCCGGGCACGGCCGCGACAGACGCCAGGACUGCACACCGUAGUUCCUUUUCGUCUCCACCUUCCCAGGGCGAGGCCACCAGGGUCCCCACCGAUCAUCGAUCCCCACUCGACACCCCCCCCAAAGUCCAGGCCACGGGUCCAGCCACCUCCCACAUGUCCUGGCCGCCGCUCCCCCCACCCGCUCCUCCUCCCGGGUGCCCCAGGUCAUCCCUCCGGUGGCCGACGUGGAGAAUCGCCUGUUAUGAUCCCUGCCGGCUCCCCCUUUCCUCCCAUCUCUGAAUCUCCUCCACCCACUGCCUUCCCGGCUGCCCCCCAAAUGCACUCGGUUUCACGUGUCCGGGCCUUUGCACACGCCGUGCCCCGUACCUGGCGCACCCUUCCCGCUUCCUACAACACUUGGCAAACUCCUGCUCCUUUGGCAAAGCCUCAGCCCCAAAGUCCCCUCCUCCGGGCCUCCCGUCUGAGACCCCCCAAGCCUAGGGACCCCGGGGAGGCCGGGCCGCGGUCUGGGACGUGGAGUGGUGCAGGGGUGGAGGCAGCAGGAAACGCGUUGGCGUGAAAGGACGGGUGCACGUGAGCGUGCCCGUGCCGGGGGUCCACGUGCGGCGCCCCGGGGCUCGCCCCCUCUUCCGUCCAGGCCCCGCCGCAGCCGUCAGACCCUCGGCUGCGCCUCCCGCCCCCAAGUUUGCAGACGCGCGGGGAGAGGGGCGGGGCCGCAGCGCCUCCGCGCUUGCGCCUGCGCACUCGUCCCAGCCGGGCUGAAGUCCCGCCUCCUAGGGGCUGCCUCCUCUGCUACUGGGGCACGCAGAUGAGCGAGAGGUGCUGCAGACAACAUCCUUCUUCCUCCUCUCCAACCGCCUGGCGAGGGGGCGGCGGCGCCCUGGGGCCCUCGCCCUGACCCCAGGCCGGGCGCCGGUGACCCGCACCCCAUCCUGAGCCCCUAGGGGACGUCCGCGCUAGAGACCGGGGCCGCCUGACUGGGCAUCCGCCUUCCUGACGACAUGAGGCUGGCGAGGUGGCUCACGCCUGUAAUCCCAGCACUUUGGGAGGCCGAGGUGAACAGAUCACGAGGUCAGGAGUUCAAGACCAUCCUGGCUAACACAGUGAAACCCCGUCUCUAAGGAAUAAAAGGACAUGAAAUAGUA